GGAUUGCCCUAGUAACGGCGAGUGAAGCGGCAACAGCUCAAAUUUGAAAUCUGGCUCUUUUAGGGUCCGAGUUGUAAUUUGCAGAGGGCGCUUUGGCGUUGGCAGCGGUCCAAGUUCCUUGGAACAGGACGUCACAGAGGGUGAGAAUCCGUACGUGGUCGCUGGCCUUCGCCGUGUAAAGCCUCUUCGACGAGUCGAGUUGUUUGGGAAUGNNGCUCUAAAUGGGAGGUAAAUUUCUUCUAAAGCUAAAUACUGGCCAGAGACCGAUAGCGCACAAGUAGAGUGAUCGAAAGAUGAAAAGCACUUUGGAAAGAGAGUCAAAUAGCACGUGAAAUUGUUAAAAGGGAAGCGCUUGCAGCCAGACUUGCCNGUAGUUGCUCAUCCAGGCUUUUGCCUGUGCAUUCUUCUANGGGCAGGCCAGCAUCAGUUUGGGCGGUUGGAUAAAGGUCUCUGUCA
rnacentral:rRNA from 1 species